rnacentral:rRNA from 1 species
UACGUAGGGGGCAAGCGUUGUCCGGAAUCAUUGGGCGUAAAGAGCGUGUAGGCGGCCUGGUAAGUCCGCUGUGAAAGUCCAGGGCUCAACCCUGGAAUGCCGGUGGAAACUGUCGAGCUAGAGUCCGGAAGAGGCGAGUGGAAUUCCUGGUGUAGCGGUGAAAUGCGCAGAUAUCAGGAGGAACACCAAUGGCGAAGGCGGAUCUCUGGGCCUUACCUGACGCUCAGGUGCGAAAGCUAGGGGAGCGAACAGG